rnacentral:rRNA from 1 species
UACGAAGGGGGCGAGCGUUAUUCGGAAUCACUGGGCGUAAAGCGUGCGUAGGCUGUCUAGCAAGUUGGAAGUGAAAGCCCAGGGCUCAACCCUGGAAUUGCUUUCAAAACUGCAAGACUAGAGUCCGGGAGAGGAUAGCGGAAUUUCCAGUGUAGUAGUGAAAUACGUAGAUAUUGGAAGGAACACCAGUGGCGCAAGCGGCUAUCUGGACCGGUACUGACGCUGAGGCACGAAAGCGUGGGGAUCAAAACAGG